GUUUGAAUUUGGGAGCUACUUCCUUACCUCCUAGACUUAUUCCAAACAAAUAUGAAAUUACACUUUAAGGACAGGGUGAAGUUGAGAAGGUUGUCCCUCUGCAGGGAGGGGCCGUAUAUUUUGUGUAAGUCUCACAAGAUUGGUCAAGGUAACUUAAGAACAGAGACUGGAAGAUGCAACAUGCAGCUAUGAAGACAGACUUGUGGAACAGUUAAGUUGAGCACUCAUGAGAGACUCUGAGAAUGACUCCUCAAAUAUUCUGAAGAUACAUAAGUCCUAUCUGCCACACAGGACAGAGUGACUGAAUAACUAGAAUGUUUUAGAUCCCUGUGAAUCAGUAUUGAAUGUGGUGCCAGAAUAUAAAAAUAAACAAAGAAGUUACAAUAUAGUGACAUGGGAGCAGGGAAAUAUAACAAACAAACAAACACGUAAUUAAGUAACUUGAACAAUGAGUAGUUGUAUGGUAGAGGUAUAAUACAUAAAAUACCUUAAGAACACAGAGGUGGUAGGGCUGAAUUAUACCUGGAAGACUUCAAAACAGAGUUGGCUUUUUAAAGCAGGGUUUUGAAAGUUGAAGUGAUAAAGAGAAAACUGAGGCAAGAGGCCAGUUCUUCUGGGUAUCAAAAAUAAAUACAUAUUCUUGGACUGGCAUGAUGUAUUCAGGAAGUGAUGGGUAGUCCAGUGCAAGCAGUAUACAGCCAACAAAUCAGAGGUGACCUAACUGAAAAUAAAGGGAGCAGAGUGCUGGGAAAUGGUGGCUUUAAAAAGCAUAUAUUAUGAGUAUAUAUGGGAAUGAUCCCACCUCAUUCUUCUACUGAACAGGAAGAAACAGGAUGCUUUAUCUAGAAUUCCAGUAUGACUCCAAAUCUGAAAUCCGCAUCAGUGAUGGAAACAAUGAGUAGAUUUCCCAGGGACCUGAAUAUUAAAGAUUUCACUUUUAGACUCUGCAAUGUAGUAAGUUAGCAAAUAAUUAUAAAAACAGAAUUCAAAAUGUACAAAUUGGACUCAUCUACAUGACAAUACCCAAUUAUAAAUCCAAAUAAACUAGCAGCCAGCAAUCAAAAUAACAAAUGUCCAGAUUUUUCUUUAUUGAUUUUUCUAGUAAAAUGACCAUAUAUUUUGGUAGUUCAUAUGGUUUGGCUGUGUGUCCCCAUCCAAAUCUCAUCGUGUAGUUCCCAUAAUUCCCAUGUGUUGUGGGAGGGACCCAGUGGGAGGUGACUGAUUCAUGGGGGUGGGUCUUUCCCAUGUUGUUCUUGUGAUAGUGAAUGGGUCUCAAUAGAGCUGAUGGUUUUAAAAACAGGAGGUUCUCUGCACACGCUCUCUCUUUGCCUGCUGCCAUCCUCAUACAAUGUGACUUGCUCCUCCUUGCCUUCCGCCAUGAUUGUGAGGCCACCCCAGCCAUGUGGAACUGUAAGUCCAAUAAACCUCUUUCUUCUGUAAAUUGCCCAGGCUCAAAUAUGCUUUCUGUGAAAAUGGAAAAAUACUGUAAUACAAAGAGAG
rnacentral:lncRNA from 1 species